rnacentral:rRNA from 1 species
UCCAUGCAGUGGCAACACUGCGGAAGACCUAGUGGCGAACGGGUGAGUAACACGUGAGGAACUUGCCCCGGAGACCGGGAUAACCCUCCGAAAGGAGAGCUAAUACCGGAUGCCCUCACCGAGUCGCAUGGCUUGGUGAGGAAAUGGAUUCCGCUCCGGGAGAGCCUCGCGGCCUAUCAGCUAGUUGGUGGGGUAACGGCCCACCAAGGCGUCGACGGGUAGCUGGUCUGAGAGGACGAUCAGCCACACUGGGGCUGAGACACGGCCCAGACUCCUACGGGAGGCAGCAGUGGGGAAUCUUGCGCAAUGGGCGAAAGCCUGACGCAGCAACGCCGCGUGCGGGAUGAAGGCCCUCGGG